rnacentral:rRNA from 1 species
ACGAACGCUGGCGGCGUGCCUAAUCCAUGCCAGUAGAACGCUGAAGAGAGGAGCUUGCUCUUCUUGGAUGAGUUGCGAACGGGUGAGUAACGCGUAGGUAACCUGCCUUGUAGCGGGGGAUAACUAUUGGAAACGAUAGCUAAUACCGCAUAACAAUGGAUGACACAUGUCAUUUAUUUGAAAGGGGCAAUUGCUCCACUACAAGAUGGACCUGCGUUGUAUUAGCUAGUAGGUGAGGUAAUGGCUCACCUAGGCGACGAUACAUAGCCGACCUGAGAGGGUGCUCGGCCACACUGGGACUGAGACACGGCCCAGACUCCUACGGGAGGCAGCCGUAGGGAAUCUUCGGCAAUGGGGGCAACCCUGACCGAGCAACGCCGCGUGAGUGAAGAAGGUUUUCGGAUCGUAAAGCUCUGUUGUAAGUCAAGAACGGGUGUGAGAGUGGAAAGUUCACACUGUGACGGUAGCUUACCAGAAAGGGACGGCUAACUACGUG